rnacentral:rRNA from 1 species
CCUACGGGAGGCAGCAGUGAGGAAUAUUGGUCAAUGGACGAGAGUCUGAACCAGCCAAGUAGCGUGAAGGAUGACUGCCCUAUGGGUUGUAAACUUCUUUUAUAUGGGAAUAAAAUGUUCCACGUGUGGGAUUUUGUAUGUACCAUAUGAAUAAGGAUCGGCUAACUCCGUGCCAGCAGCCGCGGUAAUACGGAGGAUCCGAGCGUUAUCCGGAUUUAUUGGGUUUAAAGGGAGCGUAGGUGGAUUGUUAAGUCAGUUGUGAAAGUUUGCGGCUCAACCGUAAAAUUGCAGUUGAAACUGGCAGUCUUGAGUACAGUAGAGGUGGGCGGAAUGCGUGGUGUAGCGGUGAAAUGCUUAGAUAUCACGAAGAACUCCGAUUGCGAAGGCAGCUUACUGGACUGCAACUGACACUGAGGCACGAAAGUGUGGGUAUCAAACAGGAUUAGAUACCCUAGUAGUC